GAAAAUGGAUUUUCAAAUUAAAAAAAAAAAAAGUAAGUGAUAUCUAAGGAAAAUUAGCUAUUGUCAAUAUGUAGGACAGACUGGAGAUAGAAAGGAGAGGCCAGAAAGGCUAAGCAGGGAAUGGUUGCAACAGCACAUGUUUAAGGUUUAAAGUUCAAGACCCAGACAAGAAGAGCAGUCACAGAGAAUUUAAAAUGAAGAGAAAGGGGAAGAAAUGGACAUGAGAGACUUAUCUAAAGCCUAAUUCACAGAACUUGGAAACUAACUGAACAUAGUGGAAAAAGGAAAGAAUGAGACAAAGAUUUCUACCUUGAUGUCAUCU
rnacentral:lncRNA from 1 species